AUUUAGCCGAUGAAUCCCAAGUAGGACGAAACGCGCGUUCAGAAU
rnacentral:hammerhead_ribozyme from 1 species